UACGGAGGGUGCAAGCGUUGUCCGGAUUUAUUGGGUUUAAAGGGUGCGUAGGCGGCCCGUUAAGUCCGUGGUGAAAGCCAACAGCUCAACUGUUGAACUGCCAUGGAUACUGACGGGCUUGAGUACAGACGAGGUUGGCGGAAUUGAUGCUGUAGCGGUGAAAUGCAUAGAUAGCAUCAAGAACACCGAUUGCGUAGGCAGCUAACUAGGCUGUAACUGACGCUGAGGCACGAAAGCGUGGGGAGCGAACAGG
rnacentral:rRNA from 1 species